rfam:Triticum aestivum genome assembly, contig: Triticum_aestivum_CS42_TGACv1_scaffold_228324_3B
CUACUACUCCCUCCGUCCGAAAAUACUUGUCAUUGAAAUGGAUGUAUCUAGAUGUAUUUUAGUUCUAGACACAUCCAUUUUGAUGACAAGUAAUUCCGGAUGGAGGGAGUAUUAU